rnacentral:rRNA from 1 species
AUUGAACGCUGGCGGCAGGCCUAACACAUGCAAGUCGGACGGUAGCACAGAGGAGCUUGCUCCUCGGGUGACGAGUGGCGGACGGGUGAGUAAUGUCUGGGGAUCUGCCCGAUAGAGGGGGAUAACCACUGGAAACGGUGGCUAAUACCGCAUAACGUCGCAAGACCAAAGAGGGGGACCUUCGGGCCUCUCACUAUCGGAUGAACCCAGAUGGGAUUAGCUAGUAGGCGGGGUAACGGCCCACCUAGGCGACGAUCCCUAGCUGGUCUGAGGGGAUGACCAGCCACACUGGAACUGAGACACGGUCCAGACUCCUACGGGAGGCAGCAGUGGGGAAUAUUGCACAAUGGGCGCAAGCCUGAUGCAGCCAUGCCGCGUGUAUGAAGAAGGCCUUCGGGUUGUAAAGUACUUUCAGCGGGGAGGAAGGCGAUAAGGUUAAUAACCGCAUUGAUUGACGUUACCCGCAGAAGAAGCACCGGCUAACUCCGUGCCAGCCGCCGCCGUAA